UACAGAGGGGGCAAGCGUUGUUCGGAAUUACUGGGCGUAACGGGCGCGUAGGCGGCCUGUUAAGUCGAACGUGAAAUCCCCGGGCUCAACCCGGGAACUGCGUCCGAUACUGGCAGGCUUGAAUCCGGGAGAGGGAUGCGGAAUUCCAGGUGUAGCGGUGAAAUGCGUAGAUAUCUGGAGGAACACCGGUGGCGAAGGCGGCAUCCUGGACCGGCAUUGACGCUGAGGCGCGAAAGCCAGGGGAGCAAACGGG
rnacentral:rRNA from 1 species